AGCUGGCCUGAAGGUAGUGACUUAUUUCAACUGAUUGUUCACAGUCAGAAGUUUGAUCUGAAACUUUUUGUUCUACUCUUUCUCCCUUUCUCACUACAACGCUUGACUAGUAGAAA
ensembl:misc_RNA Y_RNA Y RNA